rnacentral:rRNA from 1 species
CGAUAAGAGGACACCGAGUGCCAGCAUCCUAUGUUGGCUGUCCAUAUGUAUAAAUCACAUGUGUUAGCAAGGGCCGGGCAAGACCGGUGCCAGCCGCCGCGGUAACACCGGCGGCCCGAGUGGUGGCCACUAUUAUUGGGUCUAAAGGGUCCGUAGCCGGUUUGGUCAGUCUUCCGGGAAAUCUGACGGCUCAACCGUUAGGCUUUCGGGGGAUACUACCAGGCUUGGGACCGGGAGAGGUGAGAGGUACUUCAGGGGUAGGGGUGAAAUCUUGUAAUCCUUGAAGGACCACCAGUGGCGAAGGCGUCUCACCAGAACGGACCUGACGGCAAGGGACGAAAGCUAGGGGCACGAACCGGAUUAGAUACCCGGGUAGUCCUAGCCGUAAACGAUACUCGCUAGGUGUCGGCCACGGUGCGACCGUUGUCGGUGCCGUAGGGAAGCCGUGAAGCGAGCCAUCUGGGAAGUACGGCCGCAAGGCUGAAACUUAAAGGAAUUGGCGGGGGAGCACCACAACGGGUGGAGCUUGCGGUUUAAUUGGAAUCAACGCCGGAAAUCUUACCGGGACCGACAGCAACAUGAAGGCCAGGCUGAAGACUUUGCCGGAUUAGCUGAGAGGUGGUGCAUGGCCCA